rnacentral:lncRNA from 1 species
GGUUUGUGAAUGAUUAUGACUAUACGUAUGAUUGGUCAGCACUUAAUGGAUUCCUUAAUUUCUUGUUCCCUCAUUAAGUUGUCGUCUCAUCAUUUCUUUUCAUUUCUAGAUCCAUGGUCUCAGAUUGGACUUUUAAAGAGGUAGAUUUCAAUAUCAAUGGUCGCACUUUUUUUAGUCCAACGUAUUCAUUUUCAAGUUCUCAAACAAGUGUGGUGAUUAUUUUGCAAUGUUUAUUCACACGUCUAACUUCUAUCAUGUAUAGGGCUGGGCAAAUAAACCGAACCCGAAAACCCGACCGAAUCCGAUCCGAUAAAAAUGAAU